AUUGAACGCUGGCGGCAGGCCUAACACAUGCAAGUCGAGUGUGAGGCGGACGGGUGAGUAAUGUAUGGGGACUGCUCGAUGGAGGGGGAUAACUACUGGUAACGGUAGCUAAUACCGCUUACUAUCGUUUUACCUAUAUGGGAUUAGCUAGUAGGUGAGGUAAUGGCUCACCUCGGCGACGAUCUCUAGUUGGUCUGAGAGGAUGAUCAGCCACACUGGGACGGAGACACGGCCCAGACUCCUACGGAGGCAGCAGUGGGGAAUCUUGCACAAUGGACGCAAGCCUGAUGCAGCCAUGCCGCGUGUAUGAAGAAGGCCCUAGGGUUGUAAAGUACUUUCAGUCGGGAAGCGUUACCGACAGAAGAAGCACCGGCUAACUCCGUGCCAGCAGCCGCGGUAAUAC
rnacentral:rRNA from 1 species